UCCUUCGGUUUCCGUAAAGCUCUAGAAGAAUCUUCAUCUUUCUAAUUUCUCACUCUCCAUCACAAAAUUUCAUUAGAAUCUGCCGACAAAAAUUUUCUCCUAACAGUGUUGUGGCCAAAUACUCGAGGAGUAACUCCAUUGUUACCAUCGAAACCAAAACACAAAUUGAAUUAGACCCUUCAAAACAAUCUCCAAAUCACCCAUUUUAAUUGAAAUCAUCGGAAAUUUUUAUACAGGUUAGGAAUUGAUGCUUCAUUUUUUUGGGAAAAACCAGAGAUACCUUACCUUGUAACAUGAGCCCAAGAUAACUAAUGAGGAUGAGUUAUGAAAAUAAAGUUAUGUGAUUUCAGGGAUAGUAAAAGUAGGCUAUUAAGCUCGAUAUUGUAUAAGCUCCCAAAGUUGAAAAGGUACUGUCUAAGAAAUAAGGAUGAGAAGAUGCAAGAACUGGCUCUGCAACAUUGGCUAAAAAGUUGAUCAUUUCAAUAGGGAAGCACCAUUCUUCAGGCGAUGUGGUAAUGCCACUAUCUACGAGCAACAACAUCUUUAUAUGCAUAACAAUUUUUCAGAUGCUUCUCCUACAAAAUGAUCAGUUGAGCAUCUUUCGAAGAACUGCAAUCAGCCAUACUGCAAACAUAGUUGAAAGAAGCCUCUCGACGAUGCAUUCCAAAGUAAAUUAGUUGUGGAUGCUUAAAGGAUGUAUAUGAUUGAGGAGCUUGAUAUGUGAUUUCCAAGCUCAAG